rnacentral:rRNA from 1 species
GAUGAACGCUGGCGGCGUGCCUAAUACAUGCAAGUCGAGCGAACAGACGAGGAGCUUGCUCCUCUGACGUUAGCGGCGGACGGGUGAGUAACACGUGGAUAACCUACCUAUAAGACUGGGAUAACUUCGGGAAACCGGAGCUAAUACCGGAUAAUAUAUUGAACCGCAUGGUUCAAUAGUGAAAGACGGUUUUGCUGUCACUUAUAGAUGGAUCCGCGCCGCAUUAGCUAGUUGGUAAGGUAACGGCUUACCAAGGCAACGAUGCGUAGCCGACCUGAGAGGGAGAUCGGCCACACUGGAACUGAGAAACGGUCCAGACUCCUACGGGAGGCAGCAGUAGGGAACCUUACGCAAUGGGCGAAAGCCUGACGGAGCAAAGCCGCGUGAGUGAUGAAGGUCUUCGGAUCGUAAAACUCUGUUAUUAGGGAAGAACAAAUGUGUAAGUAACUAUGCACGUCUUGACGGUACCUAAUCAGAAAGCCACGGCUAACUACGUG